rnacentral:tRNA from 1 species
GCCUGGUUGGCUCAGUCAGUUGAGCAUCCGACUUUGGCUCGGGUCAUGAUCUUGCAGAUUGUGGGUUCAAGCCCACAGCAGGCU